rnacentral:rRNA from 1 species
GAUGAACGCUGACAGAAUGCUUAACACAUGCAAGUCAACUUGAACUUCGGUUUGGGUGGCGGACGGGUGAGUAACGCGUACAGAACUUGCCUCACAGCUAGGGACAACAUUUGGAAACGAAUGCUAAUACCUGAUAUUAUGAUUUUAGGGCAUCCUAGAAUUAUGAAAGCUAUAUGCGCUGUGAGAGAGCUUUGCGUCCCAUUAGCUAGUUGGAGAGGUAACGGCUCACCAAGGCGAUGAUGGGUAGCCGGCCUGAGAGGGUGAACGGCCACAAGGGGACUGAGACACGGCCCUUACUCAUACGGGAGGCAGCAGUGGGGAAUAUUGGACAAUGGACCAAGAGUCUGAUGCAGCAAUUCUGUGUGCAAGAUGAAGUUUUUCGGAAUGUAAAGUGCUUUCAGUUGGGAAGAAAAAAAUGACGGUACCAACAGAAGAAGUGACGGCUAAAUACGUG